CCUAAGCAAAUUUAUAUAAAAUAUUUUACACUUAAAAUUUUGGUAAAACAUUUUACAUUUGCUCUCUCCCUCACACCCCGAUACUUAUUAUUCCAUCACUCCCACAAUCACUUUCACGCUUAAACUCUCCCUCUCAGAUUUGUCCCUCUCUCGCACCCAUCACCGGCUCCAAGGUUUGAGGCACCAUCAGCAAGCUCCACCCUCUGCCAGCGCUGCCCAUCGCUGGCGAAACCCAGGUUCGAUUUCUACUCCUUGCUGGAAAAACACCUCAAAGUUCAGGAAGUUACUUCAAUUCUUGUAGCAGAUGGUGUGUCAAGUGAGAAGAUAUUAAAGAACUUCUGACAAACCAUGUAGUUCAUAUUGUUGUAUUAUUUUUGAGCAACAGUUAGUGAUUUAUUUGUUCGAACUGCUGAUUAUCAUUUCAGCUUGGUGUAGAAAAUAAAACAUAUUUUGGGAUU